CAGUCAAUAGUCACUACAGCCACUGGAGUGGAAGAAAACCGGAGUGCCUGAAGAAAACCCAGACAAGUGAAGUGAAAGCUCUGCUGAACUACAAACCUGUCACUGUCUGAGGAAGAGGAAGCAGGCAUUGGUUUUUCUGGUGCUGGUUUAGGUUUUCUUCCACGUGGCUUCUGUGGAGGUUUCUCUGUAAACAGAUGAAGGAAAAUUAAAGCUUUCUUAGGAGGAGGAUCCGAUUCAGAAUCAGACUUGGAUCCGGACUGAGACUCGGAUCCCGAGACGGCCGGUCGUGGUUUUAUGUC